UGAGAGGGCUAGCGUUAUUCGGAAUUAUUGGGCGUAAAGGGCGCGUAGGCGGAUUAGUAAGUUAAAAGUGAAAUCCCAAGGCUCAACCUUGGAAUUGCUUUUAAAACUGCUAAUCUAGAGAUUGAAAGAGGAUAGAGGAAUUCCUAGUGUAGAGGUGAAAUUCGUAAAUAUUAGGAGGAACACCAGUGGCGAAGGCGUCUAUCUGGUUCAAAUCUGACGCGGAGGCGCGAAGGCGUGGGGAGCAAACAGGAUUAGAUACCCUGGUAGUCCACGCUGUAAACGAUGAAUGUUAAAUAUGGGGAGUUUACUUUCUGUAUUACAGCUAACGCGUUAAACAUUCCGCCUGGGGACUACGGUCGCAAGAUUAAAACUCAAAGGAAUUGACGGGGACCCGCACAAGCGGUGGAGCAUGUGGUUUAAUUCGAUGCAACGCGAAAAACCUUACCACUCCUUGACAUGGAAAUUAUACCUAUUCGAAGGGAUAGGGUCGGUUCGGCCGGGUUUCACACAGGUGU
rnacentral:rRNA from 1 species